rnacentral:ncRNA from 1 species
CUGGUGGAUCCUGCCAGUAGUUAUAUGCUUAUCUCAAAGAUUAAGCCUUGCAAGCACAUGCUGUGUUACGGCAAAACUGUGAAUAACUCUUAAAUCAGUUAUGGUUCCUUAGAUUGUAUUUUAUUGCAUGGCUAAUUGAGGCAAUUUUAGAGCUAACACAUACAGUUGAGCUCUGAUCCUCUGGGAAUGAGUGCUUUUAUUAGAUCAAAACUAGUCUGACCAACUGUCUAUAUUAUGUCAUGACUGUGUAUAACUUUGGGCUGGAUGUGCAGGCUUGUCCUGGUUCCAUAUCUUUCAAGUGUCUACCUUGUCAAUAAGUGAUUACAGGUUAUGCACCUACCAUAGUCAUAACAGGGGACAGGAUCAGUGUUCGAUUCCAGAGAGGGAGCUUUAGAAACAGCUGCCACAUCGAAGGAACACAUACAAAUUACCCACUCGCAGAACAGGGAGGUAGUGACAAAAAAUAACACUAUGAGACUCUUUUAAAAUCCCAUAAUAGGCAUGAGCACACUAAAUCCUUUAAUGAGGAUCAGUUGGAGGAUGUAAU